UACGUAGGUGACCAGCGUUGUCCGGAUUUACUGGGCGUAAAGGGCGCGUAGGCGGCCCGCUAAGUCGAACGUGAAAUCCCCGAGCUCAACUCGGGAACUGCGUCCGAUACUGGUGGGCUUGAAUCCGGGAGAGGGAUGCGGAAUUCCAGGUGUAGCGGUGAAAUGCGUAGAUAUCUGGAGGAACACCGGUGGCGAAGGCGGCAUCCUGGACCGGCAUUGACGCUGAGGCGCGAAAGCUAGGGGAGCAACGGG
rnacentral:rRNA from 1 species